UACGAAGGGAGCUAGCGUUGUUCGGAAUUACUGGGCGUAAAGCGCACGUAGGCGGACUUGUCAGUCAGGGGUGAAAUCCCAAGGCUCAACCUUGGAACUGCCUCCGAUACAGCAAGUCUGGAGAUCGGGAGAGGUGAGUGGAAUUCCUAGUGUAGAGGUGAAAUUCGUAGAUAUUAGGAAGAACACCAGUGGCGAAGGCGGCUCACUGGCCCGAUACUGACGCUGAGGUGCGAAAGCGUGGGGAGCAAACAGG
rnacentral:rRNA from 1 species